CCUACGGGAGGCAGCAGUGGGGAAUUUUGGACAAUGGGGGCAACCCUGAUCCAGCCAUGCCGCGUGCGGGAAGAAGGCCUUCGGGUUGUAAACCGCUUUUGUCGGGGAAGAAACGGUCUGCGCUAAUACCGCGGGCUAAUGACGGUACCCGAAGAAUAAGCACCGGCUAACUACGUGCCAGCAGCCGCGGUAAUACGUAGGGUGCAAGCGUUAAUCGGAAUUACUGGGCGUAAAGCGUGCGCAGGCGGCUUUGCAAGACAGAUGUGAAAUCCCCGGGCUUAACCUGGGAACUGCAUUUGUGACUGCAUGGCUGGAGUGCGGCAGAGGGGGAUGGAAUUCCGCGUGUAGCAGUGAAAUGCGUAGAUAUGCGGAGGAACACCGAUGGCGAAGGCAAUCCCCUGGGCCUGCACUGACGCUCAUGCACGAAAGCGUGGGGAGCAAACAGGAUUAGAUGCCCUGGUAGUCCACGCCCUAAACGAUGUCAACUGGUUGUUGGACGGCUUGCUGUUCAGUAACGAAGCUAACGCGUGAAGUUGACCGCCUGGGGAGUACGGCCGCAAGGUUGAAACUCAAAUGAAUUGACGG
rnacentral:rRNA from 1 species